GACGAACGCUGGCGGCGUGCUUAACACAUGCAAGUCGAACGGAAAGGCCCUGCUUUUGUGGGGUGCUCGAGUGGCGAACGGGUGUGUAACACGUGAGUAACCUGCCCUUGACUUUGGGAUAACUUCAGGAAACUGGGGCUAAUACCGGAUAGGAGCUCCUGCUGCAUGGUGGGGGUUGGAAAGUUUCGGCGGUUGGGGAUGGACUCGCGGCUUAUCAGCUUGUUGGUGGGGUAGUGGCUUACCAAGGGUUUGACGGGUAGCCGGCCUGAGAGGGUGACCGGCCACAUUGGGACUGAGAUACGGCCCAGACUCCUACGGGAGGCAGCAGUGGGGAAUAUUGCACAAUGGGCGGAAGCCUGAUGCAGCAACGCCGCGUGCGGGAUGACGGCCUUCGGGUUGUAAACCGCGUUCGCCUGUGACGAAGCGUGAGUGACGGUAAUGGGUAAAGAAGCACCGGCUAACUACGUG
rnacentral:rRNA from 1 species